GACGAACGCUGGCGGCGUGCUUAACACAUGCAAGUUGAACGGUAAGGCUCUGUUCUUGCGGCGUGCUCGAGUGCAGAACGGGUGAGUAACACGUGAGUAAACUGCCCUUGACUUCGGGAUAACUUAUGGAAACUCGGGCUCUUAUACGAUAGGAGCUCUUUAUGCAUAGUGGGUGAGGGAGAAAUUCGGCGGUUGAGGAGGGACUGGCGGUCUAGCAGUUUAUUGGUGGGGUAGUGGCGUACAAAGGCUUUGACGGGUAGCCGGCCUGCGAAGGUGACAGGCCACAUUGGGAUUCAGAUGCCACCCAGACUCCUACUGCAGGCAGCAGUGGAAGAUAGUGCAAACUGGGCGGAAGCCGGAUGCAGCGUCGCCGCGUGCGAGAUGACGGCCUUCGGGUUGUAAACCUCGUGCGCCUGUGACGAAGCGUAAGUGACGGUAAUGGGUAAAGAAGCACCGGCUAACUACGUG
rnacentral:rRNA from 1 species